GAUGAACGCUAGCGGCAGGCCUAACACAUGCAAGUCGAGGGGCAGCACAGAAACAGCAAUGUUUUGGUGGCGACCGGCGGACGGGUGCGUAACGCGUAUGCAACCUACCUUUAACAGGGGGAUAACGGAGAGAAAUUUCACUAAUACCCCAUAACAUCGAUCAAGGCAUCUUGAUUGGUUGAAAACUCCGGUGGUUAAAGAUGGGCAUGCGUUGUAUUAGGUAGUUGGUGAGGUAAUGGCUCACCGAGCCUACGAUACAUAGGGGGACUGAGAGGUUAGCCCCCCACACUGGUACUGAGACACGGACCAGACUCCUACGGGAGGCAGCAGUGAGGAAUAUUGGUCAAUGGGGGCAACCCUGAACCAGCCAUGCCGCGUGCAGGAAGACGGCUCUAUGAGUUGUAAACUGCUUUUAAACAGGGAUAAAGCACAGUAUGUAUACUGUGUUGAAGGUACUGUAAGAAUAAGGAUCGGCUAACUCCGUGCCAGCCGCCGCCGUAA
rnacentral:rRNA from 1 species